rnacentral:tRNA from 3 species
GGCCCGGUGGUGUAGCGGUCUAACAUGUCGCCCUGUCACGGCGAAGAUCGUCAGUUCAAAUCUGAUCCGGGUCGCCA